UACGUAGGGUGCGAGCGUUAAUCGGAAUUACUGGGCGUAAAGCGUGCGCAGGCGGUUUUGUAAGAUAGGGGUGAAAUCUCCGGGCUCAACUCGGAGCCUGCAGGAGAAACUGCCGUGCUUGAGUAUGGGAGAGGUGAGUGGAAUUCCUGGUGUAGCGGUGAAAUGCGUAGAUAUCAGGAGGAACACCUGUGGCGAAAGCGG
rnacentral:rRNA from 1 species